AGAGUUNAAGCUGCUCAUCGACCGUUUAGAACAUCAGUGGCCAACAGAUCGCCAGAUCGUUGAGCUGCAUUGGCGGGAUUUCGCCGUCUUCGUUUCUCUUUCUUCGCGGACGAACACGCGCUGGGGCUGCAGGCUUGCAGAUCCCUGGUCCUUGACUGGAUAUGCGUUAGGGGCUUGUAGCUCAGUUGGUUAGAGCGCGCGCUUGAUAAGCGUGAGGUCGGAAGUUCAAGUCUUCCCAGGCCCACCACUUUCAUCGAGUGUGCAUUCGUCUUCUGGUUACGGGGCCAUAGCUCAGCUGGGAGAGCGCGUGCUUUGCAAGCAUGAGGUCGUCGGUUCGAUCCCGUCUGGCUCCACCAGAUGGUUUGAUCACCGAGAUCCUGUGCCGUCGUCCGCGAAACAUCACUUCGCGCUUGCUAGUCCGGAUGGACAGCAAGCUGCGUGAUUUCUGACAUCGUAAAGAGGAGAUCGAUCCGAGUUGGAUCGUGCGGAGAAUAUCCGCGCGAGACUUCAUUAUCUCCGGAUCAUUUCGGCGCUCGCGCGCCUUUCAGUGUAGCUCACAAGGCUGCGCCUGAAAGACAUGUGAGUUGUGAAUGAUCCUUUUAGCGAAGCUUGGCCGCCUCGCUAUCGGAACGAUCUUACGAAGCAAGCUGGUCUUUCUAGUCAAUGUCCGGUUGCAGAUAGCGUUCAUCGAGGGCGCGUGCCGCAAGGCAAUUCUGCAGACAACAUUCUGCCGAGUGUGUGGACAUUGAUAAUGAGAGCAAUCAAGUGCCUUAAGGGUGUUCGGUGGAUGCCUUGGCGCUGAGAGGCGAUGAAGGACGUGCUACGCUGCGAUAAGCCGUGGGGAGCUGCGAAGAAGCUUUGAUCCGCGGAUUUCCAUGGG
rnacentral:misc_RNA from 1 species